UACGUAGGGGGCAAGCGUUGUCCGGAUUUAUUGGGCGUAAAGAGCGUGUAGGCGGCUAGGUAGGUCCGUUGUGAAAACUCGAGGCUCAACCUCGAGACGUCGAUGGAAACCAUCUAGCUAGAGUCCGGAAGAGGAGAGUGGAAUUCCUGGUGUAGCGGUGAAAUGCGCAGAUAUCAGGAAGAACACCCGUGGUGAAGGCGGCUCUCUGGUACGUGACUGACGCUGAGACGCGAAAGCGUGGGGAGCGAACAGG
rnacentral:rRNA from 1 species